UACGAGAGGCCCAAACGUUAUUCGGAAUUAUUGGGCGUAAAGAGCUCGUAGGCGGUCUGUUGCGUCCGCUGUGAAAUCUCGGGGCUUAACCCCGAGCCUGCAGUGGAUACGGGCAGACUAGAGGUAGGUAGGGGAGAAUGGAAUUCCCGGUGUAGCGGUAAAUGACUGCAGAGUAUCGGUGAGGAACACCGGUGGCGAAGGCGGUUCUCUGGGCAGUAACUGACGCUGAGGAGCGAAAGCGUGGGGAGCGAACAGG
rnacentral:rRNA from 1 species